UACGUAGGGAGCAAGCGUUGUUCGGAUUUACUGGGCGUAAAGGGCGCGUAGGCGGCGCGGUAAGUCACUUGUGAAAUCUCUGAGCUUAACUCAGAACGGCCAAGUGAUACUGCAGUGCUAGAGUGCAGAAAGGGCAAUCGGAAUUCUUGGUGUAGCGGUGAAAUGCGUAGAUAUCUGAAGGAACAUCAGUGGCGAAAGCGACUUCCUGGACCAAUACUGACGCUCAUGUGCGAAAGCGUGGGGAGCAAACAGG
rnacentral:rRNA from 1 species